rnacentral:rRNA from 1 species
UCCAGACUCCUACGGGAGGCAGCAGUGAGGAAUAUUGGUCAAUGGGCGCAAGCCUGAACCAGCCAAGUCGCGUGAGGGAUGACGGUCCUAUGGAUUGUAAACCUCUUUUGUCGGGGAGCAAAAGCCGGACGUGUCCGGCUGUGAGAGUACCCGAAGAAAAAGCAUCGGCUAACUCCGUGCCAGCAGCCGCGGUAAUACGGAGGAUGCGAGCGUUAUCCGGAUUUAUUGGGUUUAAAGGGUGCGUAGGCGGUCUGUUAAGUCAGCGGUAAAAUUGCGGGGCUCAACCCCGUCGAGCCGUUGAAACUGCAUCCCUUGAGUGCGCGAGAAGUAUGCGGAAUGCGUGGUGUAGCGGUGAAAUGCAUAGAUAUCACGCAGAACUCCGAUUGCGAAGGCAGCAUACCGGCGCGCAACUGACGCUCAUGCACGAAAGCGUGGGUAUCGAACAGGAUUAGAUACCCCCGUACUC